rnacentral:rRNA from 1 species
UACGAAGGGGGCGAGCGUUGUUCGGAUUUACUGGGCGUAAAGGGCGCGCAGGCGGCCGCUCAAGUCAGGCGUGAAAGCCCCGGGCUUAACCUGGGAACUGCAUUGGUGACUGGCAGGCUUUGAGUGUGGCAGAGGGAGGUAGAAUUCCACGUGUAAGCAGUGAAAUGCGUAGAGAUGUGGAGGAAUACCGAGUGGCGAAGGCAGCCUCCUGGGCCAACACUGACGCUCAUGCACGAAAGCGUGGGGAGCAAACAGG